CAGCUGGUGUAGCAGUUUCUGGGAGUCAGUUGUUGUCAGGACUUCUGUCAUCUUGCUAGAGACUGCGGCUCCUCAGCGUGAUCAUCCUCCCUGGGCCUGCUCUCACCUCACCCCACGCUAUCGGAUAAGAGAGGCCUAGGAGCACUUGAAGAGUCUGAAUAAAAAUUCCAACAAGGCCUGCAACACCCCCCACGGAUGGUCCCACCCCCUUCAUUUGUUGUGCUGCUGGAGAUCGAACCUAGGGCGACACAAUGCAAUUUUACUUCCAAAAGAAUCCUUGAACACUGCAAACAAAUCUCUUCAUAAGCUGAAGUAGCAUUCCUGGAUCCAGUGAAGCUUUAAACACCAGAAGCCUAGACACAAUAGCAGCCACCUCUCCAUUUGGUUUUACUCAGUGGUGGUGGUGGUUACACUGGGGUCCAGUGUGUGCACUAGAUUCAUUUACCACGGCUACUCUGUGUGAUGCUAAAAUCCUAUGCUUCAUGAGUUCCAAUGUUAUUACAGAAAUACCUGUAUUGCGAAAGUAUAAGUCUGUAAUUUCUUAAGAAAACAAUGGUAAACAAGGCUUUUUUACUCAGUGAUGAAAAAUACACUAGGUUGAUGGUUCACUUGUUUUUGUAUAAUAUAGAAUUGAAGGUCUCCAGUUUUUCUCUGAUUUGUGUUAAAUGUUUAGCUAGUUCGAGUAGCUCUGAAGCUACUGCAACUAGCAGAAGGAAUUAACCAUUUCAAAAAUUUGUUAAUGACUCUUUCCUACACGUCCAGUGUGCUAAGUGCUAUGUUGUGCUGAAGGUGACCGAUUCUGACUUGGAGGGAAGGGGGGGCAUUUAAAAUUUGGUCUUUUGAGAGAAAUGGCAUCAUAAUGGAUGGACAGGUCAGGGGAGGGCCUUCUAUGCUUAAGAAAGAGCAGAGGCAGAAAAAUGGACUGGGCACAGGUUAGUCCUAUAAGGACUGGGGCAUCAAAUCAAAGUCAGCAUACUUGGGAAACAGGUGGGACAGAGCUGAUGGUGCCAGUGAGUGCCAUGGGAUCGAGCAGUCACCACUGUGGGCAGCAGCACAGCAGCGGGCUACGUUUCUACCUGGUUACCCACUGGAAUCCCCUGGGAUGACCCCAUGACCUCCGGCGAUUCUGAUUAAUAGGUCUGUGCUGGGCCUGGAACACUGGAAUUUCAUAAAACUUCCGCACGACUAGAAUGUGCAGCCAGGACUGAGACUUGCUGCUCUGAAUUCUCAGAUCCCAGGCAAAAAUGAAAAGGAGAAGUCCCAGAAUGUGAUGGUGGGAGGAGCAAAUUCCAGCAGUGGGAAUCAGGGGAAGCCUUUAUGGAGGGUGAUGAACAGGACAUGAACUCCUGCUCUGAGAUCCUCACUGUGUGUGGAGAAAACAGACUACUACUACUCAGCUCCUCGGUGCUGAAAAAAAGAGGUGAGGGAGCUUUCUUCAGGCCCAAGGCACAGGAGGGAAAGGCACUCCAAGACUGAAUCAACAGGGUCUGGUGUUUGGUGUACAGCAAGGGACAAAGAGGAAGUGUCAGAGACACACCGGAUCUUCCACUGGAGGAUGAGCUAUGCAGGGAAUGGAGGCAGAGACACCACAUAACCAGGGGUGGGGCGUGCGUGGGAAGGAUGGCAGUGCUAGGAUGCUUCAGGUCUGAUGUGUGUGAGGAAGCACCAGUACUUCCGAGAUGUCCAGCUACGGACAGGAAGUAAGGGUGAGAGCAACACAGGAGAAUCCCGGCUGGCAAUAGGAGUUUAUAAGAGUUACCUGCGGUCUCAUGGGGAGACACAAACUCAUUCUCUCAGUAUGCAAGUGGGGACUGUGCUGCUAGUGACUUAAUCCCACAGGUAUGGUGGACUUUUGCAGUUCAUGUCCUAGACCAACAUGAGAAGGGGGUAGGGGUCGCAGUCUAUACCCACUGGGGUGGAUUUCCACCUCAUCUGCAUGGGCUUCUUUGGUGAAAAGCUGUGUCUUCAGCGCUGCUGGCCUCAGUUCCUCAUUUUUUUAUCAGCACCUUCUACAUCUGACCACUUAUGUUUAACAUCCUUAGACAAGGGUAGGUUUUAAGUUAAGAAAUAGCAUGUGUCUGGAUCAAGUUACUUAGCAUAAGUCCAGGUUAAGAACAGAAAAAAAUUCCCACAGGACCAAGAACUUGUUACAAUUUCUCUUAUUUUUUCAAUACUGUGUAUUGGGUCUGGAAGGCACUGAGCUACAUCCCCAGGCCUUUUAAUUUUUUUUAAAGAUGGAUCUUGCUAAGUUGCCCAGCCUGGGCUUGAACUUGAGAUCCUCCGGCCUCGGCCUCCUAAGUAGCUGAGAUUACAAGUGCAUACCAUGACAUCUGACUUCAUUACAGUUUCAAGUUUCAAGGUUUUAAAUGGUCUCUGAUCAGGAUUUAUGGAGACAUGAAAAGAGGCCAGUCACCCUGUAUCUACAGUUCCUUUCAGCUUGUGGUCAGAAAGUCAGCCAUUUGGAUUCUCUUUGCUUAAUUCUACUUCAAAGCUUUAUUUCUGAAACUAGUGCAUUCUUUUUGACCUUUUCUCUUCCAACUUAGGGCCUAUAUCAGCUCUGCUCUUCUCUUGUAGUUUAAUCACAAUUGGACAUGGUCUUUAUUAGGUUCAGGGCUACAUUUCGGUUUUGGACAACCCUAUACUACAAGUCCUAGGGCUGGGAAUUUAGCUCAGUGGUUCUGCCACCUGCCUUGCAAGCACAAGGACCCGAGUUCUAUCCUCGGUACCAAAAAAAAAAAAAAAAA